rnacentral:rRNA from 1 species
AGUGAACGCUGGCGGCAGGCCUAACACAUGCAAGUCGAACGGCAACACAGUAAGAGGUGGCUACUAGGGGUGGAGAGUGGCGGAAGGGUGAGGAAUACACCGGAAUCUACUGUAUAGCGGGGGGAAACGUAGGGUAAUAUCCGCUAAUAUCGCAUACGAAAAACGGGUGAACGCAGGGGAACUUUGGGCCUUGCGCGUUUGAAGGAGCCGAUGUCGGAUUAGCUAGUUGGUGGGGUAAAGGCCUACCAAGGCGACGAUCCGUAGCUGGUCUGAGAGGACGAUCAGCCACACUGGAACUGAGACACGGCCCAGACUCCUACGGGAGGCAGCAGUGGGGAAUUUUGGACAAUGGGCGCAAGCCUGAUCCAGCCAUGCCGCGUGCGUGAAGAAGGCCUUCGGGUUGUAAAGCGCUUUUGUCAGGAACGAAAAGCUGCACGUUAAUACCCCGCUGUACUGACGGUACCCAAAGAAUAAGCACCGGCUAACUUCGUG